rnacentral:snRNA from 1 species
AAGUGUUAACAGUCUUUUAAAAUUUGUCUAGCUGGUUUUCUGGCCUGCCCUGAAAAGCCCCC